ACAAUUCAUCGAAAACAGAUUUGGUACGAUAUUCGGUAACGGAAACGCAUUUGGUACGAUACUAUCAAAAAUUUCAAAACUCGGAUUUGGAUUCGGCAGCGGAGAAGAAAUUAGUUGUUUGAAAUUUAUAGCGCUCCCACUUCAAGCCUCCAUUGGGUCUUCUCCUACGGAUUUAUGGCUCUUAUACACGAGUACAUCACUUUAGCUGCUUCCUAGACUGAUAAAUGGUCCUACAAAUCAACACCAGUGUUCCCAGCAUGCUUUGUCACUCGCAAGCUUCUUAAGAAGACUUUCCAUGAGGUUACUCAUCCUGAAAUUAGGGCUGCACACGGGUAGGGUUGGGCUGACCAACCCGAAACUGGGCUGAAAAUGUUUUAAAUAUAUUAGGUCGAAUAGAGAUGUGUUAAAAAACUGUGAGUCGACUUAUAUGGGUCGAAAUUGGGUUGGGCCUUAUGUGACCCAUAUAACUCAACCCAACCCGAAUUCUUAUGAUCAAUAAUAAAAAAAUAUAAUACAUAUAUUACAAUUCCUUUCCAUCAUAAGGAACAUUUUAAUGAAUAAUUCCACUUAACCCAAACACAUUACACUCACUCAUAUUUUAAAAUGAAACCCUAAAAAAAUGAUACUCUCUCUCUGCUCCCUCACUUCUCUCUCUCUCUAAAACUCAAGAUCCAGUGAUCCACCACCAGCAACAAAUCUUGACCAGCCCUAAGCAAGUUGUCAACCACCCCAUUUCCACCAUCCCGCACCAUCGAACCUUGCCAACCACGCCACGAGUCGCUGGCAGCCACUGCACACGAAUCCACUGGUAGACGAAACCAUUCUUCCACUGCACCAAUUGUACGAACUCCUUCCUCUAAUCGCACUGCGCACCAGUCACACCAUUCUAAUCAAGUAGUCUCUCACUCUCUCUUUUCUUUCAAUUUCAUAUAUAAUGAAUGUAUUGUAUAUUUGUGGAUUAGAAUUCAUUAAUACCUAAACCACGCAAAAAAUUUCAUCUUUACUUUCUAUUAUUUUAUUUAAUCUCUUUAUUAUAAUCGGUUUCCAAAAAUAAACAUACAAAAAUACACUUUUAAAGUUUUUAAAUUAUAAAAAUAUAUUUUUUUUAUGCAAAAAAAGUAAGAAAAUAAUUAAAAAAUAGUAAGAAUUCAACUUUAGGAUUACAUAAAUUAAUUAUAAAUAAACUAUAAAGCAAUAGUAUGACAAUUAUAAUACUAUUAAAUAACCAAAAAAAAUACAGCAGAAAUGAUGCUGCAAGAAGGGAGCAAGGUUGCUGGAAGGUGCCGAGGCAUGGUGAGGUUAAAAUUAACGUGGAUGCUGGUGUGAAGAAUGGUGUUGGCUGCUCGGUCUGGGCUGUGUCAUGAGAGGUGCGAAUGGCGAAGUACUCUAUGCUUCGGCCACUGUUUUGCCCAGGGAACAAUCACCAUUACAACUUGAGCUUUUGGCCAUUUUAUGGGGGAUACAAGCUAGAAUGCAGAGACGAAUACCACGGUUUAUCAUUAAAUCGGACUGUUUGGAAGCUGUUCAAUUAAUCCAAAAAAAGGAAGACAGCUACCGAGAUGUUGAUUGCUUGCUAGAUCAAAUUAGAAUUUUGUUGUCUCAUGAUUGUGUGAUUGGUAUCUCCUUUGUAUUUCGUGAGGCCAAUAAAGUUGCUCGUGUAUUAGCCAA